UACGUAGGAGGCGAGCGUUGUCCGGAGUUACUGGGCGUAAAGGGUGCGCAGGCGGCGGUGCGCGUGGCGAGAUGAAAUCUCCUGGCUUACCUGGGAGGGUGGUCGCCAGACGGCAUCGCUUGAGGGUCGGAGAGGGGCGUGGAAUUCCGGGUGGAGCGGUGAAAUGCGUAGAGAUCCGGAGGAACACCGACGGCGAAGGCAGUGUCCUGGCGAGUGACUGACGCUGAGGUGCGAAAGCCAGGGGAGCGAACGGG
rnacentral:rRNA from 1 species